rnacentral:rRNA from 1 species
GACAGAGGGUGCAAACGUUGUUCGGAAUUACUGGGCGUAAAGCGCGUGUAGGCGGCUAUGCAAGUCGGGGCGUGAAAUCCCACGGCUCAACCGUGGAAGUGCACUCGAAACUGCGUAGCUAGAGUCCUGGAGAGGAAGUGGAAUGCUUGGUGUAGAGGUGAAAUUUCGUAGAUAUCAAGCGGAACACCGGUGGCGAAGGCGG